CCUGGCUCAGAUUGAACGCUGGCGGCAGGCCUAACACAUGCAAGUCGAGCGGAUGAAGGGAGCUUGCUCCUGGAUUCAGCGGCGGACGGGUGAGUAAUGCCUAGGAAUCUGCCUGGUAGUGGGGGAUAACGUCCGGAAACGGGCGCUAAUACCGCAUACGUCCUGAGGGAGAAAGUGGGGGAUCUUCGGACCUCACGCUAUCAGAUGAGCCUAGGUCGGAUUAGCUAGUUGGUGGGGUAAAGGCCUACCAAGGCGACGAUCCGUAACUGGUCUGAGAGGAUGAUCAGUCACACUGGAACUGAGACACGGUCCAGACUCUACGGGAGGCAGCAGUGGGGAAUAUUGGACAAUGGGCGAAAGCCUGAUCCAGCCAUGCCGCGUGUGUGAAGAAGGUCUUCGGAUUGUAAAGCACUUUAAGUUGGGAGGAAGGGCAGUAAGUUAAUACCUUGCUGUUUUGACGUUACCAACAGAAUAAGCACCGGCUAACUUCGUGCCAGCAGCCGCGGUAAUACGAAGGGUGCAAGCGUUAAUCGGAAUUACUGGGCGUAAAGCGCGCGUAGGUGGUUCAGCAAGUUGGAUGUGAAAUCCCCGGGCUCAACCUGGGAACUGCAUCCAAAACUACUGAGCUAGAGUACGGUAGAGGGUGGUGGAAUUUCCUGUGUAGCGGUGAAAUGCGUAGAUAUAGGAAGGAACACCAGUGGCGAAGGCGACCACCUGGACUGAUACUGACACUGAGGUGCGAAAGCGUGGGGGGCAAACAGGAUUAGAUACCCUGGUAGUCCACGCCGUAAACGAUGUCGACUAGCCGUUGGGAUCCUUGAGAUCUUAGUGGCGCAGCUAACGCGAUAAGUCGACCGCCUGGGGAGUACGGCCGCAAGGUUAAAACUCAAAUGAAUUUGACGGGGGCCCGCACAAGCGGUGGAGCAUGUGGUUUAAUUCGAAGCAACGCGAAGAACCUUACCUGGCCUUGACAUGCUGAGAACUUUCCAGAGAUGGAUUGGUGCCUUCGGGAACUCAGACACAGGUGCUGCAUGGCUGUCGUCAGCUCGUGUCGUGAGAUGUUGGGUUAAGUCCCGUAACGAGCGCAACCCUUGUCCUUAGUUACCAGCACCUCGGGUGGGCACUCUAAGGAGACUGCCGGUGACAAACCGGAGGAAGGUGGGGAUGACGUCAAGUCAUCAUGGCCCUUACGGCCAGGGCUACACACGUGCUACAAUGGUCGGUACAAAGGGUUGCCAAGCCGCGAGGUGGAGCUAAUCCCAUAAAACCGAUCGUAGUCCGGAUCGCAGUCUGCAACUCGACUGCGUGAAGUCGGAAUCGCUAGUAAUCGUGAAUCAGAAUGUCACGGUGAAUACGUUCCCGGGCCUUGUACACACCGCCCGUCACACCAUGGGAGUGGGUUGCUCCAGAAGUAGCUAGUCUAACCGCAAGGGGGACGGUUACCACGGAGUGAUUCAUGACUGGGGUGAAGUCGUAACAAGGUAACCGU
rnacentral:rRNA from 1 species